CAAACCUCCAAUUCCUUGUACAUUGCUCCGGCAAACUUAACGGCGAGCGAUGAACUUAGCGAUUCAGGCAGCUCUGUUAUGGGUUCUUCAUUUCGAAAGGUAAGGAAUAGCCUUCCGAACCUACUCGAGUAGUUAAUUGUCCUAACGGUCGCCCCAAACUCACUCUUUCGUUUCUCCAAUCAAACCUCCGGCGGGAGUUGCGUCGAACUGUUGCGGACGUGCCCAGGCCUUCGUGAGCAUUUCAUUAGGUUCGAGGCGAUCCGAGGAAUCUACCCGUAUCUUCCAUCUUCAUUUUUGAGCUAGUAUGUGGGGGGUUUUAAGCUCAUUGAAAUGAUGGGUGUUUCACCGGAGAUCGUCUCUGUAACUUAAGUAAGAGGAUGGCAAAAUUCUGUUUAGUACCCUAAGUUAUUUUCUAGCUUAGUCCUCAUACUUUCGGUAAUCUCUUGAGUAACCCAUAACUUCUAAAAAUGGACAGUCGUGGCCCAGGAACUUUUAUCCGAGACAAUUAUAAAAAUGAUGUAAUUGGACAAUUAUGAUUGUGAUCUUUUUUGAACUCGAGUCACCCAUCAGAUAUUUACAGGUUAACAGGGAUUAGUUAUGAUUGAUCGUUAGUGUUUUUAUGGGUCAAGUUGAAGUUAAUAAUGACUGAGAGAUUGUGUGAUUUGGAACUUGGUUCCGACAUUGGUUUUAAAUGCAUGUGAGGGACAUCUUCCGAAAGUAUUCAUGAUGUAUCUAAAUGUUUUCUCUUAUUUUGGUACAAGAUGGCUAUUUGUAUUUGAAUUGAAAGAGUAACUACCCCUUGCAAAGUCAAGAGUUCGUCUCGAGACAA
rnacentral:lncRNA from 1 species